UAUUUUAUUUAGGCUCUGUGUGUUUUUUUUCUUUAUGCCGUGUGCCACAAUAAAGCACAGUUUGUCCCCUAAAUCCUGGUGUCUGUGAAGAAGUGUGUGGUUGCAACCCCGGAAAAAGAGCUAAUCCCCCACAAUUGGUGUCGGAUGCGGGCACAUGUCCGUGCUGAAAAGUAAAAAGCAACACGGUUUCUAGGGGCAACGACAUCACUGAAAAGAGCAGGUGCUGCUCAUGCUGCCAAGGAUUUGCUGUGU